AUUGAACGCUGGCGGCAGGCCUAACACAUGCAAGUCGAGCGAGAGGCGGACGGGUGAGUAAUAUCUGGGAAACUGCCUGAUGGAGGGGGAUAACUACUGGAAACGGUAGCUACUACCGCAUACCAUAGGAUACGCCCAAGCGGGAUUAGGUAGUUGGUGGGGUAAUGGCCGACCAAGCCGACGAUCUCUAGCUGGCCUGAGAGGUUGACCAGCCACACCGGGACGGGGACACGGCCCGGACUCCGACGGGAGGCAGCAGUGGGGAAUAUUGCGCAAUGGGGGCAACCCUGACGCAGCCAUGCCGCGUGAAUGAAGAAGGCCUUACGGUUGUAAAGUUCUUUCGGUGAGGAGGCGUUAAUCACAGAAGAAGCACCGGCUAACUCCGUGCCAGCAGCCGCGGUAAUUC
rnacentral:rRNA from 1 species